AUGUGUUGGCAAUGCGUUGGCUAAAGACUCCAGUAAAGUUCACCUGCCACAUGUUGAAAAGUUUGGCUUCUACAACCCAGAAGCCUGCUCGUCAGCCAAGGAGACUUCCAUUCCCCCUCAAGCCCUGGAGCCUGAAUCGUCAUAAGCGUCAUCUUAUACAGCCCAACUAUGAUCCAUAUUUAUAUUUCUAUUUGUAUAACUAUUACUUGCAUUCGAUGAUACCACCACCAACAUCUGCUGCUACAACUACUGCUAAGCCUGACACGACCCCUGUUACGACAGAGAACCCCCCUCAACCCAUGCCUCCUGCAUAUCCAUAUUAUUACUAUAAUUAUUACCCUUACUUCUAUCCAUACUACCCCCAAAAUAUCCCAGUUGUGACUAUCACUGCCCCACCUACUACUGGACCUGUCACUAGUGGGAUGACCGCUACGACCACAACAGUGCCAACCACCACGACGACGACCACCACCACCACAGCAUCGACGUCAGCCGCGAUGACUUCUCAAAUACCACCAAAACCUUAUUACCCAUUUUAUACAUAUCCUUACUACCCUCCAGCAGGACAACCCAAUCCAGGACUCCCUUACAUUUACUACAACCCAUAUAUGCAGCCUUUCUUGGGAAAUCCUCCAUACCCUACAUAUACACCUAUGAAACCUCCAAUUAGCACAACUAUGCAAGUUACAACUGCUCCGACCACAACUCCAAAUAAUGCAAGUCCUACAAUGAUGCCAACAACUGCCUCUGCUUCUAAAAGCACUUCUGCUCCUACAACCACUACUGCUAAAACGACGAUCACUACUGUGCCGCCUAAAACGCCCUGCACUAGCAAAAUGACACAAAUGCCAAGCAAUGAAUACACAGGCCAAGCGCGUCCAUAUGUUCCAUACCAAGAGUCUCCUUUUACUCCAUACGUUUCAUUCAAGGCUGGUAAACUCCCAAAUGACCAGAAGUACAUGCCUCAAGCUGCCUACAAAUCUGGUCUCCAGGCUCGAGCACAUCCAGGCUUCAACAACUGGCAACCUGUGCCCUGGUAUCCACACUCUAUGGGGGAGAACAACCAAUUUGACUGGACACUGCCUGAGGCAGAUUAAUUGCAAAUGGGGCUGGUGUCCUGCAAUACUGAGCAUUUAAUAAACCAGUUUACAUUUUAA